UCUGCUACGUGUCACUCACCAGGUGCCAGGCAGGGCAUGCGGCCUCAGAGGCAGUGCAGGGAUGAAGAUAGAUCCCCGCCCUCCGGGAGCUCACAGGCUGGGGUGAACAGCCUUUCUCUCUUCUUCUUCUCCUGUGAAUCAGCUCGGGGUGGACCCCGUCACCGAGCAGCAACACGCGCUGUGGAACAUGGAGGAUGGUCAGGUCAGCUCUGACAGAGAGGGAAAAGGAGCUCGCAACGCUGAGGGUGGGUGGCCAAAAGUAUCACGUAGUGUGUGCUAUAGGAAUGCCUGUUCGCACUGCUCGACGCCCCGCCACACGAUAAAAGUUUACAGCACAGGAGCUGAGGCCCAGGCCUCCUCACAGGAGUUCCUUGGAGAGAGCGGGGAGUUAAUCUCAGAAGGCUUCCUGCAGGAGGCAGCCCUUAGGCAGCGUCACACCUCCUGA
rnacentral:lncRNA from 1 species